GGGUAAUCCUACGGUGAGGAAUCUGUGGUGGAUUGACUUGUCACACCCCAAAAGAUGUGUCCUUGUCCUACACCCUAGUUCCUGUUUAUCUGUAGAGAUGAGAUCAUCCUGGAUUAAUCAGUUGGGCCCUACAGCCCAUGACAAGAAUCUUUAUAAGAAGAGAAGACAGAGACAAGGAGGAGAAACACAGGAGAGAAGGCAAUGUGAAGACAGGAGAGACAGACAUUGGAGUGGUGUGUCUACAAGCCAAGGAGCACCAAGAAUUACCAGUAGCUACCAGGAGCUAGGAGCCAAAGUUUGGUUCUGUGUUUUGCAACCAAGAACACUGAUGAAGAAACUGAGUUCUAGGAGUGAGUUGAAACCAACAAACGUGGAAUCUGAGACCAGUUAUCUGUCUUAGCUAUUGAAGAUAACUAGUCAGAGAUGGGUAACUGGCACCUAUGGCCUGCAAGAGAGGAACUGCUGACUGAAUUAAUGCCUGUGGUCCCCAGGCAUCAAGUAUUCCCUGAAGGCAUGGCUUUGUGGACACUCAAUUGCCGCCAUCAUAAAAUGGUUUGAAGGACAUGAGAAAUUUGGGGAUAAAGGAAUUCUUUCUUUAAGGACUAAACACUUAAGGAAAAGGAAUGACAAACUUAAAUGACUAAACGAUUGGCUCAAGACUUGGACUGAAACUUGGAACUUUCUAUGACUGUGCAAAAGGAAAUUCUUAUCUCUUGCAACUAUAGAGCAGAGGGAGCUGAAAACUAAAAGCAUAGUUUGAUCCUGCAGACGGCCAAAUUACCUUGCCAGUCGAAUUCACGGCCCUGUCAGAUCUUUUGUGUGAAAUUUAGGGCAUCGAGUCUCAUUGCUGUAUUUGCAAUGCUUAGCCAAGAGCCUGGCCCUCACUCAAUGAAUCCUUGUGAAAAUGGAUAAAUCAUCAAAUUAAAAGUAAAAGCUUCUGUUAACAUUCGUCUUUCUUUUAAGUUAGCAAGGCAGUGACAAGGCAGUGACUGCUGUGAUCAGACACUGUAUUUUGCCUUCGGUGGCAUUAAAAAUUAGUGACUCUUCUAACCCUAUCACAGUUGUCUCCAAGACAAAAAAAAAAUUCGCGGAUAUGCGGUUUAUUGUAGUCUGAAAGCAGAGCUCCAUCGAAAGCUGCAGUUGCCUCCUCUUUGGGAAUUACAAGCGUUUAGUGAACUCUCCCAGAACGAUCUGGCAUAGCCAUGACUUUGAAGAAAUGAACAGCAGGGGCUGCAACAUUUCCAAAGGCAGUGACGUCUGCUUGCGGCCACGCACAGGGAAUUGCUCAGGCAUCCCCAGAGAGAGCCGUGGGCUAGUCAGGAACCCCUCAGAGUGUACGCCCUCCGGGAUCCGGGGGGGCAGAGCAACAGCAAGAAGGUCAAUCAAAGGGCAAACCCUCUCUUUCCUUCCAUCGGUGGAAACACGAGCCCAGUCUCUUCACUGGACCCUCAGCUCCUGGCUCCUGACAGGUCAUGAGAGUUUCUCUGGCACCUUUUCCGGCUUCAAGUACCUGGACAGGCGCACCACGGACCCCCGUUCUUCCUGCUCUGUGGAUGCUAGCGAGGAUCUCGGACUUUCUGCCCCUGCCAGGUUGCUGUCGUGUCCUCCAAACCCCUCAUGCUGUCAAAGUCCCUGUCCCAUCCAAGUCUGCAACUCUCACCACCUCAUUCAGAACAUACUUAGUAGGUGCUUUCCGUGCCCAGGUCUGGAUUUAAAUCCCAGAUUGCCUGCUUCCUAGCUGUGUGACCAUGGGCAAGUUACUUAAUUUUUCUGUUCCUCUGGUUCCUUCAUCUACAAAAUGAGCAUAGUGACACCUCCCGCAGGAGACAUGGUGAGAGUGAAGCGUGACCAUUUAUGGAAAGUUCCUAAAGUUUGCACAGUGCCUGGCCCAUGGCCGGACGUCACUAUUAUUACUUUUGAUUCUGGUAAGUUGGGUCCACACCUCCCAGGACUCGCUUCUACCCAGUGGUUUGACUCACUUCCAUCUUUGUUUUCCCACCACCCUUCUCAGACCUCCCCUACGUGCAGGAAGGCUGUGUGGUUCUAAAGCCUUUGAACAUCGUGGACGCUGCCGGGCUGCUGAAUGGCAGAGGCCUCCCGCGCUUCAGUCCCCGGCCUGGGCCCUUUCUGAAAACGGCUGCUACUGUUCCAGAAAGAUAGGAGAGGAGCUGGAUCUGCUCUCGCUAUAUCAGGUUGACUCUUACCUGAACAGACUGAGCCCUGCUUCUCUUUAGUGCCUCUUCCACUGAUUUUUCCCAAAGACAAUUUUUGCUUUCAGUGUCUCUCCUGAAUGACACAGUGAAUCCUGUGAACGAUUCUAUUUCGUUCUUUGCUGUGGCUGCUAGAAAGAACGGGACCCUCUCCGACAAACGUUCAGAACUCGGGGACGAUCUGCCUUUUGCUUCGAGAUCUUACCUUGUUUCUAACUGAAUCAGCAUUUCCACUUCUGAAGUUUAUCCUAGAGAGAUGACAAAACUAUAAAAAUGUGUAUGUGUAAGAAGAGCACAGUUAGUCACAGCCAAAAAUAAGAAACUAUCCAAACGUCGUCCAUAGGGAGAGUUUAAAUAAAUUACGGACUAUUUAUACAAUGAAUUAGUAACCAGCCAUGAAAAUAAUGGAGGUUGAGCAGGAAGAUUUAUCUUAUGAGAUGCACGUGGAGCAACGAGAAGACGAGUUUCGGAUGAACGGCUGCAGGUCAACAAAUCUUCAUCCUAUUUGCUUAAAGGACAACCACUCAUUUAUUCACCCAAAAUACAUUUUUUGAGUAUUUAUUUAUUCUAGGCAGUGUUUUAGGAACUGGGACUAAAUGCACAAGAUUGGCAAAGUCACGCCUCAGUAAAGCCUUCUUUCUGGGGAAAGUCUCCCCACUUAAAGACAAUUAUUUCUCUUGCUCUCCUCUUCUUGAGAACACUAGGUGGGUCUUGAACUUGUCUUUUGAGAUCAGCCUUCCGAAGCCAAUCAGAUAUCAGAGACAUUGUUGGCCAUCAAUAUUGUCAACAAUUUUCAAUGCCUUAAGUAAUUAAAAUAUUUUGUGGUAUACCCAAUAGAGAAACAUGGAAAUCUUCCCAAUUUGAAGGAAUUUUAAUUUUAAUGAUAUUUCUGUUGAGAGACCAUGUUGCUGUUUAUACAGUCAUUCAUUCAUUCAAGAAAUAUCUAGUGAGCAUGUGCUGUAUUAAAG
rnacentral:lncRNA from 1 species